CGGACGGGUGAGUAAUGUCUGGGAAACUGCCUGAUGGAGGGGGAUAACUACUGGAAACGGUAGCUAAUACCGCAUAACGUCGCAAGACCAAAGAGGGGGACCUUCGGGCCUCUUGCCAUCGGAUGUGCCCCAGAUGGGAUUAGCUAGUAGGUGAGGUAACGGCUCACCUAGGCGACGAUCCCUAGCUGGUCUGAGAGGAUGACCAGCCACACUGGAACUGAGACACGGUCCAGACUCCUACGGGAGGCAGCAUG
rnacentral:rRNA from 1 species